rnacentral:tRNA from 1 species
UCCCUGGUAGUCCAGUGGCUAAGGCCCUGCACUUUCACUGCAGGCAAUCAGGGUUCAAUCCCUGGUCAGGGAA